rnacentral:lncRNA from 1 species
GAAGAACAUCUCCAGAAUGUGUAAGAGAGAAUAAAAAUGGAUUAGAUCAACCAAAACACUGAAGCGGUAUGACAAGUUUCUUUUUUUAAAAUGUGCACAUCUUUAUUCCAAGCUUUGAGAUUGGUCAUGGAGUAUUUUGUCUGUUCAAAGAUGACUAAUUAUCUUUGCCAAAUUUCAACUUGCUAUCUAAUUCAUUACCAACUUAUCAUCGAUUUUAUU